AAAGAAGGCAUUGACUACCAUGUCAGACUUAUUAUUAAACUAUAUCCUCUUGUUACAAAAGAAAUUAGGCAGAAAAUCUUACAUAGAUUAAUACAUAUGAUCUCACAGACACACUCUCUAAAUCUUUGUAAAAAUUAUGUAAUAGGAUAAAAAACAUUUUGUUUUAUAUAAAAGAAAAAAACAACACUGUUUUUGAAGUUUUUGUUUCUUUAAUCUUUGUGUUGAGUUUAUUUGUUUUCAUUAGAGUGUCUGUUAUGUGUUGUUUUCUUGGAAGACGGGCUCCUGUCUCCCUGUACAAGCAAAACCCACCCAUGCGCACAUCGAAUCUCUCUUUUCUCUUUCUGUUGAAAGAAAAACCAUCUAUUUGCGUCAUCAUCAUCAUCAAACCCUUCAUUGUCCUGUUCUUUUCUUUUCACUUUCUUUCCUGAUGUUUUCGUUUUCGUUUUCAUUUUCAUUUUCAUUUUCUUGAUGAAUCAUAAUCUAAUCCUUUUAACAUUGGUACUUGUUUGCUUCUUUCUUUCUUCUUGAGCCUUGAUCUGUUUGUGUGCCCCGAGAUAGCUACAUUUCUUGAAAGUGAAACCUACGUGAUAAAAGAUCCUCACCGUGUUUCAGUCUAAAAAAUCUCUAACUUUUGCUGCUUCUUUUCAUUUUUCUUUUAGCCUUUUGAUUUGCUUUCUUUAAAUCUUUCUUGAACAAAAAUUCGUUUCUUUCUCUACAGGUUGUUCUAUUCUUUGAAUGAUUGUUGUGGAGAAACAAAAACGUUUUCUUGGGUAUUACCCACAUAUGGAUCAAUCAUUUGGGUUAAAAAGAUUCUUAGGGCUUGUUUCUUAAAUCAUUGACAUGAAUUCUCCAGAAAAUCCACUUCAUUGUCGAAAUCACAAGAUGCCCAUUUGACUACUUCCACCCAUAAUUUCUUUUUCCUUUUUUGUUUCUAUUUUUAGACCUCAAAAUCGUUUUCUUUUUCUUUCAGGACAUUUUGCAAACAGGAACUCUACACUUUCAAAAUUAAAAUUUUUUCUUUGAUUACAUAUCGAAAUCAUGGGUUGUGUCCAUGGCAAGUGUUGUAGUCGCUAUCCAUCAUCAUCAGAUGGUGAUUCAAGGCACCAACAUGAAGUAGGUCAUCUGGGCAGUAAGCAUAUACUGACUCAAAGGUCACUUGAGAUUGUUCCUGUCCCUUCUCAUAACUUCAAGUUGCAAUACUCUGUUUUGACUCAGAGAGGUUACUAUCCAGACUCUCCAGAUAAGGAAAACCAAGACAGUUUCUGUAUUAAAACUCAAAUUCAAGGUAACCCAAAUAUCCAUUUCUUUGGUGUAUUUGAUGGGCAUGGUCUAUAUGGUGCUGAAUGUUCAAAUUUUGUCAAGGAUAGAUUAGUUGAGAUAUUAGCAAAUGAUCCCAUGCUGUUGAACGACCCUGUUAAAGCUUAUAGUUCUGCAUUUUUAAGGACAAACUCUGAGUUACACAGUAGCAAAAUUGAUGAUUCUAUGAGCGGUACCACUUCAAUAACUGUUCUUGUUAUUGGAGAUAAGAUUUAUGUUGCUAAUGUGGGUGAUUCAAGAGCCGUGAUUGGUGUUAAGAAUGGGAAUAGAAUUGUAGCUGAGGAUUUGUCUAAUGAUCAAACCCCAUUUAGGAAAGAUGAGUAUGAGAGGGUGAAAUUAUGUGGAGCUCGAGUUCUGAGUGUUGAUCAAGUGGAAGGGUACAAGGAUCCUAAUAUCCAGACAUGGGAUGAUGAGGAAAGUCAAGGGGGUGAUCCUCCUAGGUUGUGGGUGCCGAACGGGAUGUAUCCAGGAACUGCGUUUACAAGAAGUGUUGGGGACAGCACAGCUGAGACAAUUGGUGUAAUUGCUGAUCCAGAGGUUUCUGUUGUUCAACUCAUGCCAAAUCAUCUGUUUUUCGUGGUUGCAAGUGACGGAGUUUUUGAGUUCCUUUCAAGUCAAACUGUUGUUGAUAUGGUGGCAAGAUAUGCAGAUCCCCGAGAUGCAUGUGCAGCCAUUGCUGGAGAGUCAUAUAAACUAUGGCUGGAGCAUGAAAAUCGGACAGAUGAUAUUACAAUCAUUAUUGUACACAUUAAAGAAUCCUCUAAUCUACUGGUGCUAUGGAUGGAACUGCCGAAGUCAAUAGGAAUCAAGCGAGUUCAAGGGCACGAAAAGAAACCUCUGAUUUUUCUAGUGCCUCGGGGUCAGAGAUUUACCGAUCAAUGAGGAGUGAAUUCUCAGAUCCGCAGCUUACUGUGAUUCGAAGUGCAGCUAUUGUGGUUCCAUCUCCAUCUCAUCAGAGGCACAUGGAAUUGGAUGGGGGUUAGCAAACCCUGCUACUGAAUGGAAGACAAUUUGUUCCAUGUACAUGAUGCACUUGCCUGAAGGAUCUACAGGCAGGCCUCGGUUUGCUACUAAUGCCGCUAAAACAGUGUCACUAACCAGUAACCACACAAUGGCUUUAGGAGGACAGAAUGCUCUCCUUUCUGCUGUAACUAGGCGAUUCCUAUAUCCAAACAUAAAGGAAAUAGGAACCAAGGUUGGAGAUAUUCCUGGAGGCCGGGAAGUGGAUAAUUGUGAAUUUCAUGGAGAUAUAUAUAUAUACUUUUCUCCCUUUUAAUACUGUAUUUAGGAAGAAGAAAUAUGAAGUAGCUAGCUUUAGUAUCAGCUCAACUAUGUGCAAAUUUUGAAUUUCCAAAUGCCAGUUGUGAUCCCCAAAUCCCUGCAAUAUCUCUAGUAUGCUAUAUUAUAAUUGAUUAUGCAUUUCCUUCA